GGAUGGCAAUCUAUAAGAUUAAACCUACCUGGCUAGAAAAAAGAAACUUCAAUUAUGGGCUAUCCUGUGUGUUUUCGAGUUCCUCUAGUCCCUGUAAGUUCCCAGAGAGCCUAAAAGAGGAUUUAAAAUGGAUUGAUGUAACUCCUUCAGCAAUAGAUGACUCUCUUUGGAGCCUUGCCAAGUGAUUAUCUAUGAGUCACUUAUAGAAAAAUGUCUGCAAUGACAACCUUGUGUAUUGUCUGCCACUGUUAUUUCUGACUUCUUGAAGCAAAGUGGAUAAUAUGGGCUUAUAUUACACAAACAAAGCAUAUGUUCACUAUCUACACAUUGUUGUUGCUGCCUUGUCUGCUACACUCUUGUUUGCAUUUGUCCUAAAGGAAGAUUUCCGUUGCUAUUUUCAUAAUAUCACAUUCUUUUGUGAACAUGGCCAAAAUUCUGUGCAAGCCAUGCCAGUGAUUAUGAAAGUAGCGUAGACAGUACUGGAACUGUCUACGCAACAGCAUAGCGCUGUCUAUGCUAAUUAAACUAAACCGACAGACAGAUCUCUCUGACAAAUAUGGUCAAAACGUCGUCUCAAACACGACACAGCUGAUCAGCAUCAUCCUAACAUAACCAGGUUAGUACGAUUUCAGUUUUAUUUGUUUUGGUGACACAGGGUGAAACAUUAACUUUAGGCUUAGACAAACAGACUACACACUCUGAGAAGUCAUGCAGUAACACACGUUACUCGCCACAUAGCAUUUUCUCAAACCUUUGUGGAGGUGAAUGCUGUUCAGCACCGUCUCCACCUGGUGUUUUAGAAGUCAAUCUGAUUGAGAUUUAAGGACAUAAAACAACAACUUCCUGAGUGUAAUAGGAUGACUUUCACCUCACUGUGACCUGAGGUGAUUCUUCUGAAAGUUCAUGGAAGAGAGAUGGGGGCCGAACGACCACAACUGAGAGACACCAUGCCUUCAAGGACGGGUUAUGGCUUAUAGCAGACUGCUGCUGCUGCUGCUGAUAGGAGCGACUGUCACCCACCUACCUCAAGUAAGCGCAAGACCGAUUGCCUUCUGGUAUAACACUGAGACUAUGGAGCACCUGGUGAUGAGUUUCAAACGUGAGGGUAACUGCUCUGACACCCUGCUCUCCACUGUAGAUGUGCCAAUAGUGGGGGUGAAUUCGCAAAAAUAUUUAAAUUACACAUUUCAGGAAAAAUUGUCUGACGUGCUGCAGAACUUCCAGGCAUUCCAAGAAACCAUCAAACAUCUUCGUAAUCAAACCAGCGCGGAGUGUGAGAAUUUCCUGAAUAAUUUUGCUCACAGUAUUACGCAGUAUGUGAUGAUUCUCAAAGAGCAAUCACAGAAAUGUGGCCCUUUGCCUACUCCAGCUUUGCCUCAAACAUGGGACAAAACACAGAAACUUAGUGAAAUCUGGGACCAAUACAGCACACUAGUCAAAAAGAAGCUGAAAGAUGUUGCUGAGUGCAGCCAUAACAAGAAAAGGAGUGUAAGGCAACUUGAGCCAAAAGGACCCUAAUUGUAUAACUGUGUUACCUCGGACCAGAUUCGACACAGAGUUGAAGCCAGAGGAUGCGUCAUGGUGACAAAGAUGCAAAAGCACUUGGAAUGGACCUAUAGGAAUCAAGCUGCAGUCAACGACGAAGAACUACAAAACCAAGUUAGCAGAACUGAAUCAUAGGCAGCAUAAUGAGGACAUACAUAUUUAUUGGGACAUCAGAUGCUCUUCUAUGGAUUGCUGUUUCACAGCAUUGGUUUCUACAUUUGGGAUUGAGGGUGCUGGUUUUUUUUGGAGCCAGAAUGAUUUGCUGGAUCUCAACAAUAUGUGACGAACUUCCAUUUGGCAGCAACUACAAAUCCUGAAUGUUCCACCAGAAAUAAUCUAGGAAAUGCAAUUUCAGAAUUUAUUUUAUAUAAUACCAUGCUAAUAUUUGCAACAGAGCAAAUGAGGGACGCACAGACUUUUAUUUUUCAUUUCAUUUCAUGUGUGUGGUUCAGUUAUGAAUGAGCUAUUGCAUUCCAGUCACAAGUUUGCGGAUAAGUGGGCUUUCCUAAGCUAUAUCUGUAGCUUACAGCUGCAGAUGUAGCAGCUAUAAGCUAACAUAAACCAUGAAUGACAGCACAUCAUGUUAGAUUUUCUACUCAAAUAUUGAAAUAAUAUGUUCACUGAAAUGUCUUAGAACAGCAAUAUUUUAGCAUUCAAAAACUGAAUUAAAUUAUGUUGCAGGAAAUGUGAAAUUAAUGCAAGAUAUCAAAAUGUUAGAACUAGUUGAGUUCCACAAACUUUUCCUACAUUAAACAGCAAUGGGAACAGUAAAACGUGAAAUGCCCAUUACAAGUAUCCCUAUAGACAAAAGUAGCUGUUCACACCCUGUUUAAUGUGACAUUAGCUUUUAAUAUGGAUGCUAUGGCUCACCAAUAAGGGCGGCAUCGCAUUGGGAGCGUCACAAAAAAAAAAAGACCUGUCAGUUUUGACCUGAACAAGUUUUGUAUUGUUCAUUUGUGAGAGAGUGGGUUAUAGUUGCCCCCUGUAUUGAAUAGUGUAAGCCUGCUAAGCCUUAAACCCCAACUCGACAAUGACUUUAAAGUUUAUACUUAAUUUGCAUGUUCCUAUUAGUGCUAAACUGUGGGAGUACUUCUUACAGUUUAAGGAAUAUUUAAUGGAUUUGUUUAUCUUUGGUUAAACUUUAUAAUUCUACAGUGAAGAGGGGGUCUAUCAAAAGUACAGUUUAAUUACAUUCAUAAAACAUUUGAAAAUACACACAACACAUUGAAAUCUUUUUGCUAUUAUGACCUCCACAGAUUGCACUUUUCAUAUUUUUUUUUUUUACUUGAACUGAAUUAUUUUUUAAACACUGCUUACAAAUUCACAAAUACAGUUCCUCAUUUACCCCAAUAUGCUCAGUUUUCUCAGAAAUAUAGGUAAAAUCCUCCUGUCUUGUCUUGUCACGAGUAAAUGUACGAUAACAACCGUAGAACAUGUGUAUAUACAUUGGCUCAGAAGAGCAGGGUCCCAGAGCUACGACUCACUGUGGUUUCUAUGAGGUGCGAAAGACAAACAUACUAUUGUUUUAGAAUUCAAGACUGAAUUUAGACUGACGGGCUGCCCUGAAGCUACAGUAGUGUGUCUGAUCCUUAAACCAGCUUCAAUAUUUACUCUAACCAUAUAUUGCACAAUCAGCUCAUAGUGCAGCCAAACUUUCACUUAUAGGUUGUUAGUGUGGCCUCCGUCUCAUGGAAACUAAUCUGAAAGGAUUAUGGUUCUCUUAGUUUAUUAUGUGAUCCCCCCUUAAACUGUGACUGGUUUAGACAAAUGAUCAAACCUUUCUGAAUGUGCUUUUGCAGAGCCUUUUAACCUUGUAGUUUAAAGCUAUUGUAAUCAAACUGAGAGGGUAGCGCCCUCUGUAGGUGCUAGAUGAGAAGUGCAAGUGGUCAGAUUUAGACUCAAAAUAUUCAUCAUCUUCAUCACCGUUUGCAAAAGGGUUGGCAUUUAAUCACAUAAAUUGCACUCUGAUGAAGAUCUUAUGUUUUUUUAAGAACACAAAUUAUUUUAAUCUUCAAAUGAUCAAUGUAAUAUGCAGUUUAAAGUGUAAAAGGGAAUGUUUUCUCAAAGUUCAUAACGAGGUGAAAGUCAAAUGUGAAGUAUAUAGCUGCAAAAUGUGAACAAAAACAUUUAUUCUGUAUCUGUACAUAUAAGCCGAAUGUAUUAUAACUUAAAUCAUGGGGAAACGGUCAACAACAUGCCUGGAUAUGAAAAUAAUUUAUCCGUUUUACUUUGGAAUCAAUCCUAAAAUAAUGUGAAAUGCAGCUGAGCGUGUACGGCUUGCAAACGUUAAAAGGCUGUGUUUCACAAACACGUACAGAUUUAUGUGUUAUUUAUUUACUGACGAGGACUUUGGACUAUUUGAACUGGACAUGUACCAUUCUUCUGUAUCACGGACAUGUACCAUUCUUCUGUAUCACUUGGAUCAUCACUUUCAUUAUUAGCGUUGAAAGAACGCGAUUUUUUCAAAAAUAAAAGCUUUAGAAAUUAAAAAGAGAAAUCAAUGUGGACUUUUAUUUUGAUAUUUAAAAAAGUGUCAGCAAGUGCGUUCAGCAAUGUAACCCUCCUAUUGGCCCGACUAACUUCAUCAUAUGACCGAAAGCAACAAGCUGGAAAAUGUGAAAGCAGGAAAUCUCAGGAAAACCCGAGUGGCAAGUACGAAAGUAAAGUUAGAUAGAAUAAAACAGGAAGUUUUGCAUUUAACAAAAUAAAAUAAGCUAUAACCAUA